rnacentral:rRNA from 1 species
UACGUAGGUGGCAAGCGUUGUCCGGAAUUAUUGGGCGUAAAGCGCGCGCAGGCGGUUUCUUAAGUCUGGUGUCUAAGUGCGGGGCUCAACCCCGUGAUGCACUGGAAACUGGGAGACUUGAGUGCAGAAGAGGAGAGCGGAAUUCCACGUGUAGCGGUGAAAUGCGUAGAGAUGUGGAGGAACACCAGUGGCGAAGGCGGCUCUCUGGACUGUAACUGACGCUGAGGCGCGAAAGCGUGGGGAGCAAACAGG